rnacentral:rRNA from 1 species
AGGGUGACAGGUGGUGCAUGGUUGUCGUCAGCUCGUGUCGUGAGAUGUUGGGUUAAGUCCCGCAACGAGCGCAACCCUCGACCUUAGCUGCCAGCAUUCAGUUGGGCACUCUAAGGUGACUGCCGGCUAAAAGUCGGAGGAAGGUGGGGAUGACGUCAAAUCAUCAUGCCCCUUAUGACCUGGGCUACACACGUGCUACAAUGGGCGGUACAAAGGGUCGCGAACCCGCGAGGGGGAGCCAAUCCCAAAAAGCCGCUCUCAGUUCGGAUUGCAGGCUGCAACUCGCCUGCAUGAAGCCGGAAUCGCUAGUAAUCGCGGAUCAGCAUGCCGCGGUGAAUACGUUCCCGGGCCUU